ensembl:lncRNA
AUGGAGGAAAAGCAUCCUGAGGUUGACACCCUCCCCUUCCACACCUCCCUGCUCUCAUGGGUGGAUGGUGGAAGUCAGGGCCUCCUUCCCAAUGAAGACUGUCACCCACAGAGAGCAACUGUGAGAGUAAUUACAGCUCUGGGUGUUGCAAUCAAGCCAGGAGGAAAGGAAGGAAGACCACUGACUAAUCAAGGUACAAAGAAGGUGAUAAAAUGUAGUCACAAAAAGUCAGAUGAAAACACAAGCCUCCAGGAAAGUUGCAGCCAACCAAUUUCACAAUCUUGUUCCAGGAAUGCCUGACCCAGGUAAUAACUUUGAUUCACAACUAAGCCAUUAGAAGAAGGAGCUAUGGAAAUUAUUCUAAUGGACAAUAUAGUUGUUUGAAUUUUUACAUCGGAAAUGUCUGAAUCUCCAUCUCCCUAAGGGAGACGCUUCGGAGCCAGUCAUAGUGACAACUGUAGUACUGAAACCUGUGUUGUCCUGCCACUAAACUGUAAAAUGCAAGGUGUUUGGAAGACUAACACAUAAACUGGCCCCAACUGGUCAGGAUGAUUGUUUUCCUAUCUUUUCUCACCAUGUUGUAGUCUAUCAAAAAGAGCUGUUGUCUGCUUCUGGAUAGAAAAAAAGAAGUUUUUUGACAGGCCAUCACAAAACAACUAUUUUAAAAUGAGCAGUAGAUUUUAAUCUUAGUAGACUAAGGAUGGCUUUUGUCACACACUUUUGACUACCUAAAUUGAAGGCUUUCAAAAGGAAAACAUUCAAAAGAACCCCCAGUGAGUCAGCAAAGACUUUGAAAAGAUUGUGUAUAUUUUCUAAAGCAUAUUUUAAAAAAAAUCAUGUACAGGGGGAAAGUGUAGAACAUGUACCCACAAGAGCUAAAUUUAAAAAGUGUGCGUACAGUGAACACAUGCGUAGCAUAUGGAUGCGACUGACGGAAGAGGGCCUGGCCUCCAUUCAAGACACCACUCACAGCAGAUGCACCAUCAUAAAUUUGAGCUACACAGCCACAUCCUCGCUGGUCAGGUUCCAGUCAGUUGUCUUUGAAUCCAGUAUGGUUAAUGCACCCUCAAACUCCAGCUUUCGUUUUGGUAGGAGGGAAGAGAAAUUCCUAUGUGAAAAAGCCAAAUUACACAUAUCCCAGACUGAUAAAUAGUCAUUCAUUCCUUACCUCUUGUGAGACUUUGGCAAGUAAAAUCCCUGGCAACUUUUCAUUUCAGCUUUUUAGCCUAACAGAUUUUGCCCAUUGUCUGUCAUCUGAUUCCAGCACACAUCAAGGAUGGAUAGUCAGACUUGAUAGGAUUACCACAUUUUCUAGUAUUAAAUCAUAUUUCUCAAAUUAAAAGGCUCUGAAUAUAACAAGUAGUAAGAAAACCCCUCCUACUUUUCCUUUUGUGGUCUCCCCCACCCCCCAAAAAAGUACUACAUUCAUUUAUUUGCUGAUGGGGUUCUUGGGUGUUCACUUAAAAUGGUGACACAGGUGCUGAAACAUUUUUAGCAUAUUUGUGAAAUAUGUAAGUAUUUUAUAUUUCAAAUCAAAUAUUUGAAUUCUCUCUCUAUGGACCUAAAGAUGAAGUAGUUUAUUACAGUUUUCUGCAGAUUCAUGCAAUAACUGAGGACUUUGAUGAUGAAAGGUGCAGCGUUCAGCCAGACCAGCAACUGGUGAAAAGUACCAUCUCCACAAAUCAAAUAGAUGGUCAUCUUCGGUCCUCACUGGAUGGGUAGAGCAGAUGUUGGUAAGGAGGGGCCUGCUUUGCACAAUCCUUUGGACAAAUAAUUUGAUAACUUUGGCAGAAUUGAAUCUACUAAUUUGAUUCUUAGAAUUCUAGGUGGUGGAACAGUAGCAGAUGCCUCACAAAAUAUUAGCAUCCAUGUUUAACUGCUCCUCAUCACAUCCUCUUCACUCCUCUUUGGGGAGCUUCAUUUUAAAUUAGAUGCAGCUGCAGAGUGAAAGAUUUCUUUCAUGUUCCUAUUUAGUAUGAAAACAAUAGCAAAAAUAAACAUUCAAUUUCCUAACUUUUAGGAAUUCUUCCUUUGACUUUUUUUUUUUUUUUUAUGGGAGAGGGAAAGUUUGAUCAGGGUGCUGUUUUAAAGACCAUCUAACAGAAAUUCCAUGGAGAACUAUUCAUUUUUCACAUUCCUCCAGCAAAAUUCACUAAACGUGCCUGAGGUGCUCAUUUCAAAAACUGCAUAUAAGCAGGUUAUUUUCUCUUAUUCUGACAAGUUUCAAUCACAUAUUUAUUUCAUUUGAUUCAUUUUAGUGAAGUGGACAUUAAUCCUACUUUGUUUAAUUUCAUUGCUCAAGGAAUUAAUGUGUCAUUUGUUGGUUACUAGGUUUCAAAAGAGAAGGGAAAACACUUGGAAAAAAUGGAAGUUUCAUCUCUGGCCUGCCUUACAGCUUCUGGCAUAUUUUCAGAUGCCAACAAGUAAUGUCAAAGAAACAGCUGUUACAGUGAUCCUGCUUAACAGCCAUAAAGGAAUGAAGAUUUCCACAGAGAGCUUUGUGAGUAUACCUGGCAUGUGUAUCAUUGUUUGAGUUAUUUCCAAUUGAUAAUCAGAGAAAUUUAAUUCUCCUUUCUCUCUUUCUCAUUCUCCUCUUGCCCUGAGUUUUCUUUUCUUUGUCAUGGCCUUACAAGUUGCAAAGAAUUGCUGUUUUUCAGCUCCCUACAGUGAAGUAGUGGGAAACAGGAAGUUUACUCUCUUUGUGUCAUUUGGGAUAACUCAUUCUGGAGUUUGUUUCUUGAGUUACAUUUGCCUAUAGCUUCAAAGUGAUCUAAAGGGCAAACCAGGAAGGGAAAGCCUAGAAUAGCCUCUUUGUCUGGGGCCUUUCAAAUCUCUGCAGUCAUUAAUACUUUAUCGACUACCUGUGGAAUAAGAAAUGUCUGGGUUGGCUGCUUCUAGCAAAAAAAAGUUUCUUUUCCCUUCAGAUCAGUCUCCACGGAGCUGCCAUUUCCUGCUGACUGAGAGACAAGAUGGAGUGCCAGAUUGUCAUUUAGUUUAACUCCAUGGAAAUGAGGCAAGGGAAUCUGACCGUGACUAAACCUUUGCAUCCAGCAAAAGAACACAGGGCAAUCAAGGAAACCUUCUGCUGGCCCUCAGAGGACAGACUGUUGGUAAGUUUGCAAGACGUGUUAGGCUGGCAGAGGGGGAGUCCCGAGGAACACAGAGGUGACAAAAACUCUUAGCAUUCAUUUAUUCAGACCUUUCAUUAAGCCAGAAUCGAAGCACUUCCUCUAAGAAGGCUGCCCUAAAGAUAUGGCUUUUAUGACCAGGAAAAGGUAAGCAGAAAAACAGACCCACCAGCCAGCAGAGGAAUGACUAACCACAAUGCUCAGGAGAGGUCUAGCACAACUCAACUAUUCCAGCUGUUUUCCUGACUUCUGUGUGUGUACAUACAUAUACAUGUACACACACACACACACACACAUACCCCUUUGUCAACCUUAGUUUUGCAAGUCUCUUGUUCAAUUGCUUGUACAGGACUUAGAGGAAAGAGAAAUGAGCAUCAAAAUAAACUUCUUUCUUUCUCUCUUUCUCUCCAGUUCUUAAUUCUUAAAUUGCCUAGUUUAAAUGAAAAAUUUUAA